rnacentral:rRNA from 1 species
UACAGAGGGUGCGAGCGUUGUUCGGAAUUAUUGGGCGUAAAGGGCGCGUAGGCGGUGCGGUAAGUCACCUGUGAAAUCUCCUGGCUCAACUGGGAGCUUGCAGGCGAAACUGCCGUGCUGGAGUGUGGGAGAGGUGCGUGGAAUUCCUGGUGUAGCGGUGAAAUGCGUAGAUAUCAGGAGGAACACCGGUGGUGUAGACGGCUUUCUGGACCGUAACUGACGCUGAAACACGAAAGCGUGGGUAGCAAACAGG